UUUUUUAAUGUUUUGGAUUGAUAUAAUUCAUUAUUAUAUAUAUAAAAUAAUUUUAAUUUAAUUUUGAAGUAACACAACCGCUGCAUCCUCGAAAUACAAAGGCAUGUGAUGGUAAUAAUACAGAAGUUAGAAAGAAAGAAAACAUGAUAUAAAUAUAAGAUGUAAUGGUUCUUUUUAACGAAAAGGAUUAGCGAAAUUGACAAGUGAUACCAAAGAAUUGAAAGAAAGGACUUGAUUGAGGCAAAUCGAAGAAUGAUUAAGUUAACUAUUUGGCCAAAUGCAAGUUUUUAUUCCCUCUGCCCUUUGGCUUUAUUAUAAGACAAACGCAAAAAAAAAAAACAAAAAAAAUCUGUAACUUUACUGUAACCAGAUAAUUCAUAGAAGCUCAAGCAGUUACCUUCUUCAUCAACAACAGAAAAGAAAUGAAAAAGAAAAGGAACUACGAGUCUAGAAAGAGUCAAAUACUCAGCUCUUGACAUGUGAUGGCAUUGCGGAAAACUGGAGCUAAAGUUUUUGAAGUUUUAUGGUAUGUUAUAUUGUUUGAUUUGAUGCAUGUAAUGAGGUUAGCAUUUAUGAUGACAUUGUGAAACUUGAUUAUAUGACGUAGAUGUUUGGAGAAUUGAUCAGGGUGUCCAUUUCUUUCUCUAGAUUCUGACGAGUGAAUCAGAUUAAAUCUGACAUUACUGGAUAUAUCUAUUUCUCUUAAUUUGC